CGGAGCUUGAGAUACGCCGCUCUGAAUCUUGCCGCCCUGCACUGCCGCUUCGGUCACUAUCAACAGGCAGAGCUCGCCCUGCAGGAGGCAAUUAGGAUUGCCCAGGAGUCCAACGAUCACGUGUGUCUCCAGCACUGUUUGAGCUGGCUUUAUGUGCUGGGGCAGAAGAGAUCCGAUAGCUAUGUUCUGCUGGAGCAUUCUGUGAAGAAGGCAGUACAUUUUGGGUUACCG
rnacentral:misc_RNA from 1 species